rnacentral:rRNA from 1 species
GAUGAACGCUGGCGGCGUGCCUAAUACAUGCAAGUCGAGCGAACGGACGAGAAGCUUGCUUCUCUGAUGUUAGCGGCGGACGGGUGAGUAACACGUGGAUAACCUACCUAUAAGACUGGGAUAACUUCGGGAAACCGGAGCUAAUACCGGAUAAUAUUUUGAACCGCAUGGUUCAAAAGUGAAAGACGGUCUUGCUGUCACUUAUAGAUGGAUCCGCGCUGCAUUAGCUAGUUGGUAAGGUAACGGCUUACUAAGGCAACGAUGCAUAGCCGACCUGAGAGGGUGAUCGGCCACACUGGAACUGAGCCACGGUCCAGACUCCUACGGGAGGCAGCAGUAGGGAAUCUUACGCAAUGGGCGAGAGCCUGACGGAGCAACGCCGCGUGAGUGAUGAAGGUCUUCGGAUCGUAAAAAUCUGUUAUUAGGGAAGAACAUAUGUGUAAGUAACUGUGCACAUCUUGACGGUACCUAAUAAGAAAGCCACGGCUAACUACGUG